GACGAACGCUGGCGGCGUGCCUAACACAUGCAAGUCGAGCGGGAUUCAUGAGGACGAAACUUCGGUCUAGAAAUCAUGAUGAGAGCGGCGGACGGGUGAGUAACGCGUAGGCAACCUGCCCUUAGCACAGGGAUAGCCUCGGGAAACCGGGAUUAAAACCUGAUAAUGCCAAACAGCCACAUGGCUGUUUGGCCAAAGAUUUAUCGGCUAAGGACGGGCCUGCGUCUGAUUAGUUAGUUGGUGGGGUAACGGCCUACCAAGACGACGAUCAGUAGCCGACCUGAGAGGGUGAUCGGCCACAUUGGAACUGAGACACGGUCCAAACUCCUACGGGAGGCAGCAGUGGGGAAUAUUGCACAAUGGGCGAAAGCCUGAUGCAGCAACGCCGCGUGAGCGAUGAAGGCCUUUGGGUCGUAAAGCUCUGUCCUAGGGGACGAACAAAAUGACGGUACCCUUGGAGGAAGCCCCGGCUAACUACGUGCCAGCCGCCGCGGUAAUAC
rnacentral:rRNA from 1 species